rnacentral:rRNA from 1 species
GACGAACGCGGCGGCGUGCUUAACACAUGCAAGUCGAACGAAGAGCGAUGGAAGCUUGCUUCUAUCAAUCUUAGUGGCGAACGGGUGAGUAACGCGUAAUCAACCUGCCCUUCAGAGGGGGACAACAGUUGGAAACGACUGCUAAUACCGCAUACGAUCUAAUCUUGGCAUCGAGGAUAGAUGAAAGGUGGCCUCUACAUGUAAGCUAUCACUGAAGGAGGGGAUUGCGUCUGAUUAGCUAGUUGGAGGGGUAACGGCCCACCAAGGCGAUGAUCAGUAGCCGGUCUGAGAGGAUGAACGGCCACAUUGGGACUGAGACACGGCCCAGACUCCUACGGGAGGCAGCAGUGGGGAAUCUUCCGCAAUGGACGAAAGUCUGACGGAGCAACGCCGCGUGAGUGAUGACCUGCCUUCGGGUUGUAAAGCUCUGUUAAUCGGGACGAAAGGCCUUCCUU